rnacentral:rRNA from 1 species
AGACCCGAAACCCGGUGAUCUAGCCAUGGGCAGGUUGAAGGUUGGGUAACACUAACUGGAGGACCGAACCGACUAAUGUUGAAAAAUUAGCGGAUGACCUGUGGCUGGGGGUGAAAGGCCAAUCAAACCGGGAGAUAGCUGGUUCUCCCCGAAAGCUAUUUAGGUAGCGCCUCGUGAAUUCAUCUCCGGGGGUAGAGCACUGUUUCGGCUAGGGGGCCAUCCCGGCUUACCAACCCGAUGCAAACUGCGAAUACCGGAGAAUGUUAUCACGGGAGACACACGGCGGGUGCUAACGUCCGUCGUGAAGAGGGAAACAACCCAGACCGCCAGCUAAGGUCCCAAAGUCAUGGUUAAGUGGGAAACGAUGUGGGAAGGCCCAGACAGCCAGGAUGUUGGCUUAGAAGCAGCCAUCAUUUAAAGAAAGCGUAAUAGCUCACUGGUCGAGUCGGCCUGCGCGGAAGAUGUAACGGGGCUAAACCAUGCACCGAAGCUGCGGCAGCGAACGUAUCACUUAAAGCGAUUCAGCGGGUUACGAUUGACGGAGCGAAGCGACGUCAAAGCGUAUACAAAGUCGAGUCGGUUUAAGGAUACGUUCGUUGGGUAGGGGAGCGUUCUGUAAGCCUGCGAAGGUGGCCUGUGAGGGUUGCUGGAGGUAUCAGAAGUGCGAAUGCUGACAUAAGUAACGAUAAAGCGGGUGAAAAGCCCGCUCGCCGGAAGACCAA